rnacentral:misc_RNA from 1 species
GGUCCGAAAGAAACUUCAUGAUUUAACGAAUCAUCAAAAGGGGAUUCCAAAUGAUGUCACUUCCGAGCGAAGUGCGCGGGAACCGAAGAUCUGAAAGACAGACGUUCCACACGAGGCUCAGAGAUGCGGACAACGGCCGUAUUUCUGUUGUGGUCACUUCUCUUACUGACUAUUAGUGCUCAAGAAGUUAGAAUACCAGCCUAUGUAAACAGAGGCCAGAAUAAACCAGUUAUACGAAUAAUUCCGGCAAACAGUGCUGUAAUCCGUGUUCGAAAGCCUGGCCAGAGUAAACCGGAAGCAGUUUCGUUAAGAGAUUCAUCUGUCACCCGAAUACAGCCCGUACUCGUGUUACCCAAUGUAUCUCCUCGCGUCAGUCUGGAGAGGAUAUUAUCAGAGAUGGGACUUCGCAGAAUGGCAUCGCUUAUACACAUGGCUAAUCUGCAAACAUAUCUCCAAACAGCAGGACCUGUUACGCUGUUUGCUCCAACAGAUGAAGCUUUUUCUUUGUCUUCACCCCCAAAAGACUUGAAUCGACUCCGAGAUUUCAUACUCCAGCACGUGGUUCGCGGUCGGAUCGCAAUAGAAGAUGUUCGCAAUGACGUCACCAUUCCCAGUCUACGGUCUGGAUCGCAUCCCCUACGGUUUAAUGUAUAUGACGAUGGUCAAAUCCUAAGCGUAUCAGGUUCUCAAUUUCUGGAUGAUGCUCGGGAUGCGGGUGACAUUCGAAUCCAGCCAGUGGACAGUGUACUUUAUCCUAUUUCCAAUGAUGAUCUGACAACUGAAGUCAAGUUAUCUUUUCCACGUAUGCACCAAUAUCUGUUGAAGGCAUCUCUGACAGAACAGCUUAAUAGUGGGACUUUCACGCUGUUUGCUCCAACAGACGACGCUUUCGAUUCUUUGACACCCGAACUAAGAGGGAAGUUAAUGCAAAACUCCACACUCCUCAGAAAAGUUCUUCUCAAUCAUGUGGUUCCAGGUACACACUACAGUGCUGUACUAGCUCACGGAUUUGCUUUGAGAUCUCUUGGUGGAGAGCCCAUCUAUUUUACUAAUCGAAGAGGUCUUAUUUUGGCAAAUGGCGCACCUUUAGUGAAAUCGGACAUUUCAGUUACGAACGGUGUCAUACAUGCUUUAAAUAGAUUGCUGUUGCCUCCUGAACUCCAUCCUCGAAGACGACCUGCAACCCUUGCUCCACCCCGACGAACAACACCAGCACCAAGACCGCCGGAUGACGAUUACUUACCUGUUCCCACUUAUAUGGAACCUCCUCCUCCCGUUCCACGUUCUCUAACGAAGACUAUGUCCACCCCUCUUCAGUUGCCAGAUGGACGUCAAGCUACUUUCUCCACUGGAAACUCUCUUUUCAGAAGAUCUCUUCUCCUGAAUACCCUUAGAAACAAUGGUUCUGAUAUGGUUUAUACAAUACUUAUGCCAACGGAUGCUGCAUUUGGAGAGAUAGGACAGGAGAAGUUGGAUAAGAUACGUCGCAAUUCAAGGCUCCUGCGCAGAAUGCUGUUGUGCCAGAUGGUACAAGGACGUCUCAAUCUGACGGAAGAUACGAAAGAUAGACCGAUCAGGUCUCUCGGAGGAACGAUUAUCAUCAGUUCUCUUGACGAUGGAAAGUCACUGAUGGCUGGUGGAGCUCGCGUUCUUUCAGUUCGAGAAGCCGCUGAUGGUCUAGUGUUAGUUACAGAUCGAGUAAUCAUACCAUCACCUAAUCGAAAUGUCGUUGAAGGCCUUAAACCUUUCCCGACUCUGAAGAGGAUUUUGGAACAACAACCGGAUAUACCGCAGAGGCUUAGCUCAGAAAAUGCUGCGUUUACCGUAUUUGCUCCAAGCGAUGCCGCUCUAGCUUCUAUACCUCCAGAACAGCUUCGAGACCCUAAUUUUGUUUCUGAACUCUUCUGGUCCCAUGUUGUUCGUGGUACAUACUACAGAAGAAGGCUGAGUCCUGGACUGCAUCUAACAACACUCAGGGGAAAGACCAUCAUUGUUACCCGCCCACAAUCUGGGAGUAUAUUCGUAAACGGUAGACCAUUAGGAGGUAAGGAAAUUUUGGCUGGAAAUGGAGUCAUACAUCCCGUGGACAACUUGCUGUUUGAUUUCCCUCCACCUUCUCCACCAACAGUUACAGCUACACAGCCUGGCUCUAUGGACAGAAAUUUAAAUGCUAUGGCACAAGAAUUCAAUGCUACUGAUUUUCUGAACUGGAUGUUGAAAGCCGGAAUGCAAGAUAUUUUGCAGAAACAAGUUUCGAAAACUGGAAGUUGCACCCUGUUUCUGCCUACAAAUAGAGCUUUAAAAAAUAUGUCGCCAACUUUGCGCUCCGCAACCUUGGGAGAUGCCGAACGACUGAGGAAAUUCAUCCGUUUCCAUAUAAGUCCUCGACCCCUGAGGUGGGAAUCAGUACACGAUAAUUCUCUCCUUCCCUCCUUACUGCCAGGGAAGAACAUUCGCUGUAAUAUUUACGCCUCUAGUAGAUCGAUGGUGGACCAUACACGUUGUUUGUGUCAAAUUCCUGUGUUUUUGCCAAGAUGGAUCCGGAUCAAUACCGCCGGCUCAUUUCUAAUCGAAAACUUGCUAGAGAAUUUGUGAAACGGUAUGUGGUGAGAGGUUGCCUUUACAGCAAUGGACUGCAAGAUGGCCAGGUAUUGGAGACGCUAGCUGAAACAACGCUUAAAGUACAAGUAAAUCCAGAUUGCAUUCUUAUAUCGGGUGUGAAACUCCUAUACGGA